rnacentral:rRNA from 1 species
AGCGAACGCUGGCGGCAGGCCUAACACAUGCGAGUCGAACGAACUCUUCGGAGUUAGUGGCGGACGGGUGGGUAACACGUGGGAACGUGCCUUUAGGUUCGGAAUAACUCAGGGAAACUUGUGCUAAUACCGAAUGUGCCCUUCGGGGGAAAGAUUUAUCGCCUUUAGAGCGGCCCGCGUCUGAUUAGCUAGUUGGUGAGGUAAAGGCUCACCAAGGCGACGAUCAGUAGCUGGUCUGAGAGGAUGAUCAGCCACAUUGGGACUGAGACACGGCCCAAACUCCUACGGGAGGCAGCAGUGGGGAAUCUUGCGCAAUGGGCGAAAGCCUGACGCAGCCAUGCCGCGUGAAUGAUGAAGGUCUUAGGAUUGUAAAAUUCUUUCACCGGGGACGAUAAUGACGGUACCCGGAGAAGAAGCCCCGGCUAACUUCGUG